rnacentral:rRNA from 1 species
UACGUAGGGUGCGAGCGUUGUCCGGAAUUAUUGGGCGUAAAGGGCUCGUAGGCGGUCUGUUGCGUCGGUAGUGAAAACUCAGGGCUUAACCCUGAGCCUGCUUCCGAUACGGGCAGACUAGAGUUCGGUAGGGGAGACUGGAAUUCCUGGUGUAGCGGUGAAAUGCGCAGAUAUCAGGAGGAACACCGGUGGCGAAGGCGGGUCUCUGGGCCGAAACUGACGCUGAGGAGCGAAAGCGUGGGGAGCAAACAGG